rnacentral:tRNA from 1 species
AUAAAGUAGGGUCUUCCCACAUUUGAUUUGAAAUCUUAUGGAUUGUUUAAAUAACAAGCUUUAUU